rnacentral:lncRNA from 1 species
AGGAGACCUGUCCUCCUGAUUGGCUGGCAUUAGGACUAGGGCUUGUGUUUAUUAACUAUAAGACGUGACAAACCGAACCGGGUGUCGAACCCGAGUCAUUUGUGUGCCUCAAGACCGCAUUAGCCCACAGAGCUAAAGACUAUAGGCCCUAUCUGUAUGAUCUCACCAGUCCUCAGGUCAGGUUCAUCAUGGGGGGGGAAGGAAUCACUAGUCCUCAGGUCAGGUUCAUCAUGGGGGGGAAGGAAUCACUAGUCCUCAGGUCAGGUUAAUCUAUCCUCAUGGGGGGAAGGAAUCACUAGUCCUCAG